CCACUACAAAGAUAAAAAAAAAUGCAUAUCUACUACGGGAAAACAUGUGGUGCCUACUCGGCCAUUGAGUCAUUUUUCCACCUCAGUGCCACUGUCAAGUACAUUUGGUUGAACCGCUGUUUGGACCCACCUGCAACAGAAAUCCAUGGAAUUAACUAUUUUGCCCCUAUGGAAAAGCUUACCAAUGCUAACCUUUCUUGACCAUACCCAAGCUGACCAAACCCAUUCCCCACUUUUCCC
rnacentral:lncRNA from 1 species